GACGAACGCGGCGGCGUGCCUAAUACAUGCAAGUAGAACGCUGAAGGGAGAGCUUGCUCUUCUGGAUGAGUUGCGAACGGGUGAGUAACGCGUAGGUAACCUGCCUGGUAGCGGGGGAUAACUAUUGGAAACGAUAGCUAAUACCGCAUAACAUUGACUAUUGCAUGAUAGUCAAUUGAAAGGUGCAAAUGCACCACUACCAGAUGGACCUGCGUUGUAUUAGCUAGUUGGUGGGGUAACGGCUCACCAAGGCGACGAUACAUAGCCGACCUGAGAGGGUGAUCGGCCACACUGGGACUGAGACACGGCCCAGACUCCUACGGGAGGCAGCAGUAGGGAAUCUUCGGCAAUGGACGGAAGUCUGACCGAGCAACGCCGCGUGAGUGAAGAAGGUUUUCGGAUCGUAAAGCUCUGUUGUAAGAGAAGAAACGAGUGUGAGAGUGAAAAG
rnacentral:rRNA from 1 species